AUUUACUAAAAAUCAGGGAUUUGAUUUCAACGAAACUUCAUUUCCUCUCCCACUCUCUCUCUCACCAUUACUUCCACAAUCUCUUCUCCUCUUCUCUCACCGUUUUCUCCAAAAACCCUAACCGGCGCCCCACUCACCAUAAUUCUGCUCUUCUCUCUUCUCGAUGACUUUCUGGCGGUGAAGAAAACGAAGAAUCAGUCGAUUUGCUUCCACCACCAAUUUUCUCUCACCUCGACGACGAGUGGCUGAUCAGAGAAGAAGAAUUUCCAGUACAAAAUGUUGAACAAACGAGGCAGGUCGAAGAGUUAGCCUACUCAAACGACAAGUUGAACUUUGCUGAGGCACUCGAAAAGUAUAAGCUUCCUAAACUAGCCGAACAAGUGUGCAAAUGUGCAACCAAUCGCAUGAUAUUGUAGUGGAGAAACACAGUCAACCACACCGAGACAUGUGUGUAUUUGAUGCGGCAUAUGGAGACAUAUUUUGGCGCAUCACAGGAGGAAUGGGAUUGCGGUCUCACAUGUAAGGAGUUGAAGAGCUCGGCUAUGUUGAGGAUUAAGUACCAGCGCACAUUGCUGACUUGUACUCACAACACGAGGGCUGCAGUUAACCAGAACCAUGCAACGAGGCAUUGGAAAGAAAGGCCGGCUAAAUUCAACUUCAAAAAGUGGUUUGAAGAUUAUGGUUUGUGAGUAGGGAAUCUGUAUGAAACAAUUAGCAGUAUUUAGUUUCGUCAAGGAUUACAUUAGUCUAUUUGUAUAUUUUAUUUUUGUGGGAAGGAGCUGGAUAAUGUUUUGUGACACAAUGUGGUUGGUAGUACGUUGGUUUUUAUGUUGUUUUAAUUGAAAGUAUGAUGUACGUGAACCAGUAGUAAUGUACAAUAAUGUUGUUAGAAAUGUACAGUGAACAUAAAAUAAUGUACUAUUACACUUUAAAGAAGCAAUGACAAAAAUAUUAUACAAUAAAUAACUUCUACAUAA